rnacentral:lncRNA from 1 species
AGCGAGCUAGUGAGCGACCGCGGUAAAGGUAUCGCGCCGUAGAAAGUGACCGCCAAGUCGGGUUUUAUAUUUUGUAGUUGCAUACCCAUAUAUCAUCUUUUGUAUUUGAUGAUUAGAGAUGUAAAGAAAUGAAUGUAAACUUUCUAUUUUGAAGAAAUGUGAUGUAAAAAGAAAUGAUGAAAAGCAUGUAUGUGAUAGAAGAAUCAUGAAUGUAAAGGUUGAAUGCUUGUAAAUGGUUAAA